AAUCAGGUUUCCUCAACUGACACAAACCGUGCAAUCUGCAGCUCCGCCUGGUCUUUCCAGGUCUAGAGGAGUAACAUUUUGUACUGUGCUUGACUCCACGCUCGGUCUACUGGCGGGUGUUAGUAGCGGCACUGUUGCUUCGUAGCGGAGCAUGUUGGCCGUGGGAACUCCUCCUUGGCAACAAGGACCCACGGGGCCAAAAGCCACGUCCUCAUGGACCCAACAUGUGUGCAACCCCAGCACGGCAACUUUUCCGCGAAAACCACUUUAAGGUAACACUGAUACUGGUACUCAAACGCUGGUGACAGGCUAAGGAUGCCCUUCAGGUACCCCGAGGUAACACGUGACACUUGGGAUCUGAGAAGGGGACUAGGGCUUCUAUAAAAGCGCCUGGUUUAAAAAGCUUCUAUGCCUGAAUAGGUGACCGGAGGCCGGCACCUUUCCCUUUUCGCACUACUAAACA
rnacentral:other from 19 species